ensembl:processed_transcript
CACUCCAUGAAGGUGUGAAUUUAUAGCAUGUUAGAGUUCUGAUGGCAGUUAGUGCUGACAGAGAUGGUAAUUCUGUCCUGAUGGUUGAAAAUAACUGCUUGUUACUCUUCCACAGGUUUUCCUGGUGACAAAUCUCAGGCAUUCAAAGGUUCUGUUAGCAGUGCCAUACUUGGGUUUACAGAGAUGGUGUGUCUGACUGAGAGCAAAGGAGCCAUACCAGGAAAGUUGAAGCAUAUCUUCAUUUUCAAGUCCAGGCUAAAAUAAGGUCUGAGGAAAAGAAUGAGCUGCGUGUGAAGGGAUAGAAAAAGAAAUCAUGAAAGAUCUGUUUGUCCAGGCCAGUGUUUCACCAUAAGAGAUCACUUUAAAUGAGAUGAAGUAAUUCUUUGCAAUUGCAAAUUUACCUUCCUUGCUUACCACAUUGUUAACUGUAGGAGCUGAUAUCUGGUUCUUCCACUGUUAACUUGNN